GACGAACGCUGGCGGCGUGCUUAACACAUGCAAGUCGAACGGAAAGGCCCUGCUUUUGUGGGGUGCUCGAGUGGCGAACGGGUGAGUAACACGUGAGUAACCUGCCCUUGACUUUGGGAUAACUUCAGGAAACUGGGGCUAAUACCGGAUAGGAGCUCCUGCUGCAUGGUGGGGGUUGGAAAGUUUCGGCGGUUGGGGAUGGACUCGCGGCUUAUCAGCUUGUUGGUGGGGUAGUGGCUUACCAAGGCUUUGACGGGUAGCCGGCCCGAGAGGGUGACCGGCCACAUUGGGACUGAGAUACGGCCCAGACUCCUACGGGAGGCAGCAGUGGGGAAUAUUGCACAAUGGGCGGAAGCCUGAUGCAGCAACGCCGCGUGCGGGAUGACGGCCUACGGGUUGUAAACCGCUUUCGCCUGUGACGAAGCGUGAGUGACGGUAAUGGGUAAAGAAGCACCGGCUAACUACGUG
rnacentral:rRNA from 1 species